UACGUAGGGGGGCAAGCGUUGUCCGGAUUUAUUGGGCGUAAAGAGCGUGUAGGCGGCCAGGUAGGUCUGCUGUGAAAACUCGAGGCUUAACCUCGAGCUGUCGGCGGAAACCAUCUGGCUAGAGUCCGGAAGAGGAGAAUGGAAUUCCCGGUGUAGCGGUGAAAAUGCGCAGAUAUCGGGAAGAACACCCGUGGCGAAGGCGGCAUCCUGGACCAUUACUGACACUGAAUAGCGAAAGCCAGGGGAGCAAACGGG
rnacentral:rRNA from 1 species